rnacentral:lncRNA from 1 species
GCCAAACACAAGCAAGUUAGGGCCGGCUCGUGUUCGGCUCAUUUUAUAAACGAACCAAACACAAGCUGACUUGUUAAAGUAUUGAACCAAAAAAUUUAACUCGUACACGAACUAGCUCAUGAACAACAAACUAAAAGAAUUAGAAAAAAUAAUAUAGCAAAAUAAGUUUAUGAGAUUUUAUUUAUUAAAUUUUAAGCUAAUAGUUAAAACUUUAGAUAUAAAUAAACUUUUUAUAAUUGAGUUGCACUUUAUAUUUAAUAAAUUUAUUAUAUUUUAGGCUCGUUUAUUAAACUGAGUUGAAAAAUUGAGCUCGUGUUCGGCUCGUUUACUAAAUGAGCGAUUCGAUCUCGAGUUCAUUUCGAGUCGAAUACGAGUUGAUUUGCAAAUAACAAACUGAAUUA